AUACGUAGGUGGCAAGCGUUGUCCGGAAUUAUUGGGCGUAAAGCGCGCGCAGGUGGUUCCUUAAGUCUGAUGUGAAAGCCCCCGGCUCAACCGGGGAGGGUCAUUGGAAACUGGGGAACUUGAGUGCAGAAGAGGAUAGUGGAAUUCCAAGUGUAGCGGUGAAAUGCGUAGAGAUUUGGAGGAACACCAGUGGCGAAGGCGACUGUAGGGUCUGUAACUGACACUGAAGCGCGAAAGCGUGGGGAGCAAACAGGAUUAGAUGCCCGGUUAGUCCACGCCGUAAACGAUGAGUGCUAAGUGUUGGGGGGUUUCCGCCCCUCAGUGCUGCAGCUAACGCAUUAAGCACUCCGCCUGGGGAGUACGGUCGCAAGACUGAAACUCAAAUGAAUUGACGGGG
rnacentral:rRNA from 1 species